GACCGCAAAGGAUUAUGGUCUAUUGGAAAGUCGAAAAUGUUUGUCGAAAUAAUGCGCCAAAUAAACUGAAGUGUUGUUUCGUUUAUUAAAGCCGGCCUAAGUGAGCUAACAAAGAAAUCAUCAGUCCACAAAAGAAUCAACCAGGGAAGGAGAAAAACAUUCAAAGCUGCAAAUUGCCAAAUCCAUCACCGGCCUAAAAGAGCUAACAAAAAAAUCAUCAGUCCAUAAAAGAAUCGACCAGUGAAGGAGAAAAACAUUCAAAGCUGUAAAUUGCCAAAUCCAUCAGUUGGAAGAUGGAUGUCAAAGUCUCAGACAAAAGCUUCCAGAGUUAAGGAGAGAACACUUCAACAAAAACAAGCACGAGAAGAAUGACUGCAAAAAAAGUUUUUCGCAGAUUCGUUUCCUUAUCAAGUGUAUUUAAGGAAAAUGGACCUGUCUACAGAGACUAGAUGUAAAUGUCAAGGACUGCAAUGAUCAAUUCAAUGACUCCUUUCUAAUUGUGUCAAGUGUCAUAAAAAAUUAAAACUGUUAUAAAUGGACGUGUAGUAAUGAUGAAAUUAUUACCCUGUUGCGAAUAACAUUAACUAUUCAUGAACUUAGUUCAUGAAUGACAUUUUGAAAAAAUCAUGUUCAUGAACUGUCAAGUUCAUUAACUAAGUGGGAGUUCAUGAACAUGAUUUGUCCAAAUUGUCAUUCAUGAAUAGUUUAUGUUUUUCUUUAAAAGCACACGCCAGGGGCUAGAAUAAGGUUAGGUGAAUAAGGGUCCUCUUAUUUAAUCUUCAGAUAAGCUUGCACAAGCUCGCAAAGUGAAUUGUAACGAGCUUAUCAAGCUCGUAAUAUUGCUCAUACAAGCUCGUAAAGCUGCCCAUGACGAGCUUGUACAAGCUCGCGACGUGAAAUGUAACAUGCUUGUCAAGCUCGUAAAAUUGCUCAUACAAGCCUGUAAAGCUGCUCGUGACGAGCUUGUACGAUCUUGUUUUUAAGCUUGUACUAGCUUAAUUUUGAGCGUGUACGAGCUUAAACGAACACGUACGAGCUGGUAUUUGUUUCAAUUACGGCCCAUAAUAGCUUAAAGCUCGGGCGCGCUUGCUCGCGAACUAGAUUGGGAAGUUGAUCGUACGAUCCCUUGACAAGCUCGUCUUCUAGCUCGCGAUUUUCAUAAGGGAAGUACCACAUAGUUUACAAUUUAUUUAAGUUUAGCAGUUACUUAGUAUUUUUCCAUUAAAAAAGAUUACUGGGUAUGUGUUCAAGGUAGAAUUCAUUCAAUCAUGCGUGAUUGGCUAGAAGGUGUUAUCACGUGAAGUUGGACUUCAAUUUUUGCGACGCGGGGUCUCCGACACAAUCUUUUUUUACAAUUAUGACAUCAAAGCGUAACACAUUCUAUUAGAUAAUUGUCCUGAGAUUCGUUAUAGAAAAAACUUUUUUUGGUGCAAAUCUCUGACACAGUCCCUUUAAGGACACAUUAUUUUGUUUUAUGACUUCAUUUUAACUUCACGCAAUGACACUUGUAAAGUUGUUAUGACUUUACGUCACAAGAGUUGAAAACGGCUGUAGUGCACUAGAGUGGAAUACAGCCUACCAUAUUUUGCGAUAAGUAUUACGUG